rnacentral:rRNA from 1 species
AUACGGAGGUUGCAAGCGUUAUUCGGAAUCACUGGGCGUAAAGGACGCGUAGGCGGGUUGGCAAGUCAGAUGUGAAAUCCUACAGCUUAACUGUAGAACUGCAUUUGAAACUGCUAACCUAGAGUAUGGGAGGGGGAGAUGGAAUUAGUGGUGUAGGGGUAAGAUCCGUAGAUAUCACUAGGAAUACCGAAAGCGAAGGCGAUCUCCUGGAACAUAACUGACGCUAAGGCGUGAAAGCGUGGGGAGCAAACAGGGUUAGAUACCCUAGUAGUCC